rnacentral:rRNA from 1 species
UGGGGAAUAUUGCACAAUGGGGGAAACCCUGAUGCAGCGACGCCGCGUGAACGAAGAAGGUAUUCGUAUCGUAAAGUUCUGUCCUAUGGGAAGAUAAUGACAGUACCAUAGAAGAAAGCUCCGGCUAAAUACGUGCCAGCAGCCGCGGUAAUACGUAUGGAGCGAGCGUUGUCCGGAAUUAUUGGGCGUAAAGGGUACGCAGGCGGUUUAAUAAGUCGAAUGUUAAAGAUCGGGGCUCAACCCCACAAAGCAUUGGAAACUGAUAAACUUGAGUAGUGGAGAGGAAAGUGGAAUUCCUAGUGUAGUGGUGAAAUACGUAGAUAUUAGGAGGAAUACCAGUAGCGAAGGCGACUUUCUGGACACAAACUGACGCUGAGGUACGAAAGCGUGGGGAGCAAACAGG